rnacentral:rRNA from 1 species
GACGAACGCUGGCGGCGUGCUUAACACAUGCAAGUCGAACGGAAAGGCCCUGCUUUUGUGGUGUUCUCGAUUGGCGAACGCGUGAGUAACACGUGAGUAACCUGCCCUUGACUUUGGUAUAACUUCAGGAAACUGGGGCUAAUCCCGUAUAGCAUCUCCUGCUGCAUGGUGGGCGUUGGAUAGUUUCGGCGGUUGGGGUUGGACUCGCGGCUUAUCAGCUUGUUGGUGGGGUAGUGGCUUACCAAGGCUUUGACGGGUAGCCGGCAUGAGAGGGUGAACGGCCACAAGGGGACUGAGAUACGGACCAGAGUCCUACGGGAGGCAGCAGUGGGGAAUAUUGCACAGUGGGCGGAAGCCUGAGGCGGAAACGCCGCGCGCGGGAAGACGGCCUUCGGGUUGUAAACCGCUGUCGCCUGUGACGAAGCGGGAGUGACGGUAAUGGGUAAAGAAGCACCGGCUAACUACGUG